rnacentral:rRNA from 1 species
UACGAAGGGGGCGAGCGUUGUUCGGAAUUACUGGGCGUAAAGGGCGCGUAGGCGGCCGAUCAAGUCAGAUGUGAAAGUCCUGGGCUUAACCUGGGGACUGCAUUUGAUACUGAUUGGCUUGAAUGCAGGAGAGGAUAGCGGAAUUCCCAGUGUAGAGGUGAAAUUCGUAGAUGUUGGGAAGAACACCGGUGGCGAAGGCGGCUAUCUGGACUGUGAUUGACGCUGAGGCGCGAAAGCGUGGGGAGCAAACAGG